UAUGGCCAAAUCAUGUUGAAACACGGGUUCCUAUACGAUCACUGAAGUUCAACAAUGUUGAACCUGGUCAGUACCUAGAUGGGUGACUAUUUGAGAACAGCAGGUGUUGUAA